ACGGGAGGCAGCAGUGGGGAAUAUUGCACAAUGGAGGAAACUCUGAUGCAGCGACGCCGCGUGAAGGAAGAAGGUCUUCGGAUUGUAAACUUCUGUUGUCAGGGACGAUAAUGACGGUACCUGACGAGAAAGCCACGGCUAACUACGUGCCAGCAGCCGCGGUAAAACGUAGGUGGCAAGCGUUGUCCGGAAUUACUGGGUGUAAAGGGAGCGCAGGCGGAUUGGUAAGUUGGAGGUGAAAUUCAUGGGCUCAACCCAUGACCUGCCUUCAAAACUACCAGUCUUGAGUGGUGCAGAGGUAGGCGGAAUUCCCGGUGUAGCGGUGGAAUGCGUAGAUAUCGGGAGGAACACCAGUGGCGAAGGCGGCCUACUGGGCACUAACUGACGCUGAGGCUCGAAAGCAUGGGUAGCAAACAGGAUUAGAUACCCUGGUA
rnacentral:rRNA from 1 species